CUUUGCUUGGGGAUGAGAACAUGGGUAAUGGUAAAUUCAUUCCUCAUCUGCCAAAGGAGAGAACAGCUGGUCACAAUUCCCUGGUGCUCAUGCAACCCUGCUCCACUUCAUCCCGACAGUGGAAAGUUUUCCACAGAGAAUUCCACAUGUCUCCACUCCCCGGGCAGUGUUGGCACUGGCUAACUGGAGAAACUGUGGGCACAGCCGCCCAGGCACCACCACAUGGCGCAAUCCAUCGAUUGUGGGAACUGUAAUGGAGAAAGGAGAAAAGUCUGAGACCACUGAGCCCUGCCUCCUCAAGCAGACCUCACAGCCGGCAGCCAUGGGAGAGCAACAUUAAGCCACUGGGAUUCCCCCAACUUCAGGCAGUGAGUAGGGAUCUCAUUCUAAUGGCACCAAAAAAAGGGUUGUAAAGUGUCUUCUCCAAUCUUGGGCCACAGCUGUAAGGAGCACAUUACUUCAAGAAGAGAAAAUAGUAGGCUUUAAUUAUUCAAGUUAAGAAAAGGGCAAACUACUACCUUAAGAAAAGUUUUCUUAAAAAUAACCUUAAGAAUGUAAUUGGAUUGUUUGUAACUCAAAGGACAAAUAAUUGAGGGGAUGGAUACCCCAUUCUGCAUGAUGUGCUUAUUUCAUAUUGCAUGCCUGUAUCAAAACAUCUCAUGUACCCCAUAAAUAUAUACACCUACUAUGUACCCACAAAAACUUAAAAAAUUAAAGUAAAAAAUAAAAUUUAGGGGGGGAAAAAGACAUAAGUUCUUGAAACAUUUGGGAAUUUUCUGUCAGAAUCUAAUACAAAGAAUUCAAAAAAUAA